rnacentral:rRNA from 1 species
AACGUACAAACCUUAUCGAUAAACAAUUGGAGGGCAAGUCUGGUGCCAGCAGCCGCGGUAAUUCCAGCUCCAAUAGCGUAUAUUAACGUUGUUGCAGUUAAAAAGCUCGUAGUUGAAAUGAAGGGUAGUUGUGUAAUGAAUACAUUCGUGUAUUUUGUUAUUCCACUACCCUCCUUCUAAAUUCGAUAUAUGAGUAUUAAUUUACUUGUAUAUGGUUUUAGACGUUUACUGUGAGAAAAUUAGAGUGUUCAAAGCAGGCAUUUGCUUGAAUAUAUUAGCAUGGAAUAAUCAUGUAUGAUUUUCAUGAUGUAUUUGAUUGGUUUGGUUCAUGAGAAUAAGAUUAAAAGGGACAGUUGGGGGUAUUCAUAUUCAAUAGUCAGAGGUGAAAUUCUCGGAUUUAUGGAAGAUGAACAAGUGCGAAAGCAUUUACCAAGGAUGUUUUCAUUAAUCAAGAACGAAAGUUAGGGGAUCGAAGAGGAU